UGUACACGCGUCGGAUCUUAAGCAAAAGUCCAAGAAUAUAGCCGCAAAAGCUUCCCUCCGAAGCAUGAAACUUCCUGAAGCCUCAUCUUUGGCCUCCUUCACAUCCUCUUCUCUACUUUCUUCUUCUUCUUCGCUUCGUUUGUUUGUUGCAUAUGAGUAUCUGACCAAGCACCGCAUCAGUUUGCUCCAGGAAUUGUUUGCUUUGUUAGUUUCAACUACUGGAUUGUGAAGAAUAGA